GGGCGUGUGGCGCAGUUGGUAGCGCGUUCGCUUCGCAUGUGAAAGGUCUUCGGUUCGACUCCGGACUCGUCCA
rnacentral:tRNA from 2 species